rnacentral:rRNA from 1 species
UCGUUCGUCUGUACUCUCCGCGGGCGGAGCGGGGCACGGACGGGAACGAGGACGAGCGGCGAACGACCCCGCCUCCGCGGCUGCCGGUGCCGCACGUGGGCGAGAGCGCCUAGCGGUAGGUGGUGCGGGCGCAGCGGGACCUGCGGAGGCGGCGGCACGCCCGCAACGGGUUCGAGGAGCCGAGCGCCCAUGCGUGCGUCGUC